CAAAUCUUUUACCACACUCAGAACAGACAAAUGUUUUUGCCCUGUAUGAAUUACCAUGUGUCAGUCUAAGUUGUCCUUUCGUCCAAAUCUUUGACCACACUCAGAACAGACAAAUGCUUUUUUCCUUGUAUGAAUUAUCACGUGUCUGUCCAGGUGGC